CCGGAGCUAACGCGUUAAGUAGACCGCCUGGGGAGUACGGCCGCAAGGUUAAAACUCAAAUGAAUUGACGGGGGCCCGCACAAGCGGUGGAGCAUGUGGUUUAAUUCGAUGCAACGCGAAGAACCUUACCUGGUCUUGACAUCCACGGAAGGUCUCAGAGAUGAGACUGUGCCUUCGGGAGCCGUGAGACAGGUGCUGCAUGGCUGUCGUCAGCUCGUGUUGUGAAAUGUUGGGUUAAGUCCCGCAACGAGCGCAACCCUUAUCCUUUGUUGCCAGCGGUCCGGCCGGGAACUCAAAGGAGACUGCCAGUGAUAAACUGGAGGAAGGUGGGGAUGACGUCAAGUCAUCAUGGCCCUUACGACCAGGGCUACACACGUGCUACAAUGGCGCAUACAAAGAGAAGCGACCUCGCGAGAGCAAGCGGACCUCAUAAAGUGCGUCGUAGUCCGGAUUGGAGUCUGCAACUCGACUCCAUGAAGUCGGAAUCGCUAGUAAUCGUGGAUCAGAAUGCCACGGUGAAUACGUUCCCGGGCCUUGUACACACCGCCCGUCACACCAUGGGAGUGGGUUGCAAAAGAAGUAGGUAGCUUAACCUUCGGGAGGGCGCUUACCACUUUGUGAUUCAUGACUGGGGUGAAGUCGUAACAAGGUAACCGUAGGGGAACCUGC
rnacentral:rRNA from 1 species